AACACCACGUGUUUACUAGACAACUAACAGUGCAGGUGUCAUCCCUGGAAACACCCAUAAAAACGCAAGUCAAAUGACCACACCUGUAUUUCAAGUAACCAACCUCCCUGCCCUGCUCCGCCAUCUCCCUGUCCCAGAUCUGAGUCUUGAUCUGGGGGAGAAAAACACAUCCACCUUCAGUCGGAAGGUGGUGCCACACUGUGCACCAAACAAAGAGGAGGAAACAAGAAAACACUUACCUAGUUGUCCUGAGCAUUCUUCUCAUGAACUGCAAGCUGAAAAAGCCAACAAUGAAAAGCCCAUGGUUAGGGAUUCCAAGGGCCACUACACUCACCCGCGUGAGGUGCUAAGGGUUCAGUAUGUCAGGCAGAACUCAGGUUACUGUUCCCGUGUUUGUUCAAUUUGUUGCCUGUGAGUUACAAUUGCUCUUGUCAGAUAAGGCCCAAUAUUGGGUAUGAUUUUAAAUAAGCUGCCCACGUUCCCAACAACCUCAUAUCUGUCCCCUGAUACAAUUUAUUCUUACACUGAAACCUCACUUGCCCAUGGAUUAUCAAUGUACAGUAGGAUCAAAGCUAUUGUUACAUCCUUUCCUUACUCAUUAGUCCAUGCUUGUAGGGUUCAGAGUUCAUAGAAUUCCUUCCCAUUUUCAAUCUUUCUCUAACUCAUCAUGUGACAAGUGUCUUUUAUCAUAAAGGUAUAUUCUUCUAUAACUUAUAUCCUCACCAUGUUUCCCAGGGUUGCAAAGACGAGGGCCAUGAAAUGGCACUACCACAUUGAUGGGUAUGAUUCAUUGUACGACACACUGCUUUCCUACAGAUGAUGACAAUUGACACCACCCCCGAGGAAUGUUAGCAUGGACAAAGUUUCCACACAGUCUGGUCACUACUUGAGAUCUGCAAAUGUUUAGAAACUUAAUUGUUUUAUUCUUUCUAAAACUUACCUUUUUUAUCUGUUAAUACUCUAUGCAUAUGUUGACUUUAAACAUUGCAAAAAGAUUAAAAACCAAAAAAUAACAGCGGUUUCAUGAGCUGCUGGUAAUUACUGGCUGAACUCACUUGUACUUGUUUAUUUCUUCUGUCGCUAUUUUCUUUUUUUUCCUAAUGUUUACUUUUGAGACAGAGAGAGAGUGAGCACAUGCAUGAGCGGGGGAGGGACAGAGAGAGAUGUAACAGAAUCUGAAACAGGCUCCAGGCUCUGACCUGUCAGCACAGAGCCUGACACAGGCCUUGAACUCCUGGACUGUGAAAUUAUGACCUGAGAUGAAGUUGGACGCUUAAACGACUGAGCCACCCAGGCGCCCCUUCUGUAGCUAUUUUCAAAUUUUACCUGCAGCUGCCAGCUCAUUCUUCUUUGCCGCCAGUGUCACUUUCAGCUUCCUAAGUUCCCCCUUUUUACCUCCCAGCACUCUUGCAGGC
rnacentral:lncRNA from 1 species